UACAGAGGGUGCAAGCGUUGUUCGGAAUUAUUGGGCGUAAAGCGCGUGUAGGCGGCUCUGAAAGUCGGAUGUGAAAGCCCCGGGCUCAACCCGGGAAGUGCAUUCGAAACUGGCGGGCUUGAAUAUGGAAGAGGGUCGCGGAAUUCCCGGUGUAGAGGUGAAAUUCGUAGAUAUCGUGAGGAAGACCAGUGGCGAAGGCGGGUCUCUGGACAGUUCCUGACGCUGAGGCGCGAAGGCCAGGGGAGCAAACGGG
rnacentral:rRNA from 1 species